CUCGUAGUCGGAUUUCGGGGCGGCUUCGUCGGUCUGCCGAUGGGUAUGCACUGACGCGGGCGUCCUUCCUUCCGGAGACGCGUCCUACUCUUAGCUGAGCGGGGCGUGGAGACGGAUCGUUUACUUUGAAAAAAUCAGAGUGUUUCAAGCAGGCAUCAUCGCUCUUGCAUGGAUUAGCAUGGGAUAAUGAAAUAGGACCUUGGUGCUAUUUUGUUGGUUUCGAGCACCGAAGUAAUGAUUAACAGGGACAGUCAGGGGCACUCGUAUUCCGCCGAGAGAGGUGAAAUUCUCAGACCAGCGGAAGACGAACCACUGCGAAAGCAUUUGCCAGGGAUGUUUUCACUGAUCAAGAACGAAAGUUAGGGGAUCGAAGACGAUCAGAUACCGUCGUAGUCUUAACCAUAAACCAUGCCGACUAGGGAUUGGAGGAUGUCCACUUUUGACUUCUUCAGCACCUUACGGGAAACUAAAGUCUUUGGGUUCCGGGGGGAGUAUGGUCGCAAGGCUGAAACUUAAAGGAAUUGACGGAAGGGCACCACCAGGAGUGGAGCCUGCGGCUUAAUUUGACUCAACACGGGGAAACUUACCAGGUCCAGACAUUGUGAGGAUUGACAGAUUGAGAGCUCUUUCUUGAUUCGAUGGGUGGUGGUGCAUGGCCGUUCUUAGUUGGUGGAGUGAUUUGUCUGGUUAAUUCCGUUAACGAACGAGACCUUAGCCUAUUAAAUAGUGUCGCGAACACUUGGUUCGCGUU
rnacentral:rRNA from 1 species